AACGAACGCUGGCGGCAGGCCUAACACAUGCAAGUCGAACGAGUAAGAGCCGUAGCAAUACGGAGUUCUGCUAGUGGCGCACGGGUGAGUAACGCGUGGGAACGUGCCUUGGAGUUCGGGAUAACAGUUGGAAGCGACUGCUAAUACCGAAUAUUCCCUCAGGGGGAAAGAUUUAUCGCUCCAAGAUCGGCCCGCGUAAGAUUAGGUAGUUGGUGGGGUAAUGGCCUACCAAGCCUACGAUCUUUAGCUGGUCUGAGAGGACGACCAGCCACACUGGAACUGAGACACGGUCCAGACUCCUACGGGAGGCAGCAGUGGGGAAUAUUGGACAAUGGGCGAAAGCCUGAUCCAGCCAUGCCGCGUGAAUGAUGAAGGCCUUAGGUUGUAAAAUUCUUUUGUCAGGGGAAGAUAAUGACGGUACCCUGCGAAUAAGCUCCGGCUAACUUCGUGCCAGCAGCCGCGGUAAU
rnacentral:rRNA from 1 species